CGACGGCAGCGCCCGGCGACCUAGGGCAGCUGCCCGGGCUCUUCUUUCUCUCGCCUGAACCUCAAAAUAUCAUCGUAGUGGGUUCUCUCUCACUGAAGAAAUUGAAAUAUUAUAGUCAAUCAUCUCUCUCUCUCACUCAGGAAUAGUGAUGAGUUUAGAUGACGAAUCGUCGCGAGUUCUCUUCUUAUUUUUCUUUCACUUUUAAGCUCGAUUAUAGAUGCAAAAUUAUUGUUGUGAUGUUAUUAAUUGUUGUUGCAGGUUGUGGUUCAUAAAUCGGUGAAAAAUUGAUGCUGAAUUUAUGGUUUUGUGCUAUGCACACCAAGUGUUCGGUGAAAUGCUUGAACGGGGUUCUUUUGUUUUUCUGUCUUGAAAUCCCUUGGUUGCAGUGGUAAGCAGUGGCAAAGCCUCAACGCUGGCCUCUCUUCCUGGCGACGUUGAUGGUUACAUCUCCAUUUGCGGUUACGGUUCCCUUCUCUCCGUCAGAUUAAUCGGUUUCCUCCGUCUCUUCUCCGUUGUAGGAGCUUUCUUUUUCACUCAUGGCAUGGCCAACCUUAAAACUCAGGUCAGUUCUCGUUUUAUUGUUAAUGUUAUUUGAUAAAUGGAACAGGAAGAUGCUGCGAAAUAAAAUGCGAGAAAUUAAGUUUGAAAUGUGUCUUUGUAAAUUGUAAUUGCUUGAAUGCACGUGUUUGUUUUCUAUGCUGGAAAUGGAUGCCCUCUCUGCAUUGCCUUGUCAAGAUGAAACAAUUGUAAUAACUGUUUUUGAUAUUAACAAAACUGAGGUAAUUUCUUUUCUUAAUUACUGUAUCAUCUUUUUUUCUUAAUUACUAUAUUCUUAGCAUUAUCAUUCACAUCUCAAUGUUCCUCUUUAUUUCCCCAUAUGAAGAAUGCUAACAAGUAACAAAACAUUUCCUUGACACAAUUUGGUGAUUAAAUAUACUAGGACAUAGUUUUAUUUACUCCUAUCCUAUGCAUAUCUGUUUGGCACACAAACUGCAUUGAACUUCUAUUUUAAUGUGCAGUGUUUUUUACAAGGCCUGAUACUAUUAUUGUGUUAAUAAAAUUUUGUAUUCAAUCAAAUUCUAAAUUUAACCAAAUUAUUUCUUUCUUCAGUUGAAAAAUAAAAAGGAGGUCAAGGAUCAAAUUAAAAUUUUGUUGCUUGACAUGUGAGAGAUUGGAGAUAUAAAGGAUGAAGAUGGUAUUGAUGUUGAUAUUUAUGAUAUUUUUCUAAUAUAAGUUAUAUAUGAUAUAUAUUGUUACAUGGUCCUUAUUACUUACCAUAAGUAUUAUUAGGGGUCGCUAUAGAACACAACUGACAGUUAUCCGAACCGCUAGUCUCAGACCAAUAUUACAUAUAAGUUUUUGCCCAGGCUUUAUAAUUUUUCUGGCUUCGCCACUGCUUGUAAGUCUUAAUAUAACAACUUCUUAUAUUUCUCAAAGC